ACGAACGCUGGCGGCGUGCUUAACCCAUGCAAGUCGAACGGAAAGGCCCUGCUUUUGUGGGGUGCUCGAGUGGCGAACGGGUGAGUAACACGUGAGUAACCUGCCCUUGACUUUGGGAUAACUUCAGGAAACUGGGGCUAAUACCGGAUAGGAGCUCCUGCUGCAUGGUGGGGGUUGGAAAGUUUCGGCGGUGGGGGAUGGACUCGCGGCUUAUCAGCUUGUGGGUGGGGUAGUGGCUUACCAAGGCUUUGACGGGUAGCCGGCCUGAGAGGGUGACGGGCAACAGGGGGCUUAAGACACGCCCAGGACCCCAGCGGGAGGGAGGGGUGGGGGAUUUUGCAGAAGGGGGAGAGGCCUGAGAGAGGACCGCGGUGACGGGGAGGAGGGCUGCCGGGGUUUACCCCGCUUGCGCCUGUGACGAAGCGCGAGUGACGGAAGUGGGUAAAGGAGAACCGAGUAAUUUUUU
rnacentral:rRNA from 1 species